UACGUAGGGUGCGAGCGUUGUCCGGAAUUAUUGGGCGUAAAGGGCUCGUAGGCGGUUUGUCACGUCAGGAGUGAAAACUCGGGGCUUAACCCCGAGCCUGCUUCUGAUACGGGCAGACUAGAGGUAUGCAGGGGAGAAUGGAAUUCCUGGUGUAGCGGUGAAAUGCGCAGAUAUCAGGAGGAACACCGGUGGCGAAGGCGGUUCUCUGGGCAUUACCUGACGCUGAGGCGCGACAGCGUGGGGAGCAAACAGG
rnacentral:rRNA from 1 species